rnacentral:piRNA from 1 species
UGAUGAGACAAGGGUUGCACAGAGUG